AAUCCCGAGAUCCCUGGUCCGUCCGGAGAUUGACCCUCCGGCUCCCUCUCUUCCGGGCGCCGCCCCGCCCCCACGCACGUGGGACUCAGUCUGCUCCGCUGUCCUGCCACUAGCAGACGCCUGAACCCGUUCAAUUUUUAUUAAGUGCUUGCUGUGUACAAAACUCUGAACGCUGUGUUGGGCUCAAGAAACGUCAGUAUGCCCUGGGCAUGGUCUCUGCCCGCUCAAAGACGACGAUCUAUCCUACAUCCCAGGGAAGGCCCAGUGGAGUCGGUGGCAGCCAGAGAAAUCUGAUGAAUAGGGGCAUAUGUCUGGAAGAAAGAUAAAUUUGAAUUACCAGAAAGGGAGCCAGCAAAUCCUGGACUCACAGCUAUGUCACAGCAAAGUAUUUCAUCAAAGACCAAGGACUCUAAGGAGCUCAAGCAGCUGUGUCUGAAGAUAAGAGGAUGUGACAUAGCUUUCAAAUGUGUAAUUUUCAAGCUCUCUUGGAAAAUGGCAAUAAUUGAUGAAGGCAGCUGUCACCCCCACAGCCAGAAGUGGAUGGAAGAGCCACCCUUUUUUCAGUAGAGAACCAGAUAUACCUCAGAGGCCCAAAUGCCCUUCUCCCAGUUCCCUCUUCACAAAAUAAGUGGUUGCCCUGCUUGAACCUCUUCUUUAUGUAGCUGUUAGUCAAAUUUUCUUACCCUGCUGGAAGAACUAUUUUUUUCCUUGUAUGCAAAGGCAUAUGAAGGAAGAACCCAUGUUCAAUUUUGCACCAAGGUAAAAAAAAAAAAAAAAAGAUUAACCAUAGCUACUAAUCUUCAGAAAAAAGACUAAUUCUGAAUUCCAGGAAAAAUGGGAAGAUCAUUCCUCUCUCGUUUUCUGGUCCUGGUGGAGCUAGUUUUUAUUGAGCUCAGUUUUACAGUGCCUUGUGAAAAUAUUUUCACCGACUUUGGUGCAGGAUCAGCUACAUAAUUUACUGAGCCAGGUGCGAAAUUAAAAUGCAGGAGUUCCUAUUCAAAAGUUAUUAAGAAUUUCAGCAGAGCAAUAGCAGAACAGUAAGCUAGUCUGGGAGUUUUCUAAGCAGGGGGCUCUGCAUAUUGCAUAGUUUGCCUGCCCACAAAGUGGGCCCUGUUCUGCAUGCAGCUCUCUAACCACAGGUGCUCACAAACAGGUCAUGGUCGGGGCAGGAAACAACCAUCCUAACCAAAAGCAGCCCAAUCUGGAGAGAUGCAACUCUCCCUGUAACACAUGCCUUUUUCAUCCAUUCUUCCCUGAGUUCUUUGAGACAUCAUACAAAACUGGAAGACACUUGGGGAAGAUUUUCGUAGAAUAAAAGAAUAGUUCACUUAACGACCAGUGAAGUGUUCAUUCUUGCCAGAUAGAAAUUACUUGCAGCUUUCACAAGGGUUUUUCAUUUUUUCAGCUUCUACCCAUUAAGAUUUAUAAAAUUUCGUAUCUGAAUUUUAGCCCGGGCCUCUAGACAAACCUGAGGGUCCUUUAAGCCCAUGGGCUUCACUGGGAAACAGUAACAUCAUGUGUGUGGACCCUGUGUGGAACGCUCUAGACGCUUCUGAUUAAUUCUUGUAGGCUUUCUAGGUGUGCAACCAAAUCAUCACAAAUAAUGUCAUUUGCUUCCUCCUUUUGAUUUGUUGUAUCUCAUUCUGUUUCGCCUUUUCACAUCUGCUAUAAUGCAGUUUCUUUAAAACUUAAAUGACAAAUAAAUCUUAAUAUUGUUUUGUGGAAAACUUGAAAACUUGAGAAUAAAGCUCAUCUAGGAAAGUAAA